AAGAUGGACCCGCGUCUGAUUAGCUUGUUGGUGAGGUAACGGCCCACCAAGGCGACGAUCAGUAGCCGGCCUGAGAGGGUGAACGGCCACAUUGGGACUGAGACACGGCCCAAACUCCUACGGGAGGCAGCAGUGGGGAAUAUUGCACAAUGGGGGAAACCCUGAUGCAGCGACGCCGCGUGAGUGAUGAAGUAUUUCGGUAUGUAAAACUCUAUCAGCAGGGAAGAUAAUGACGGUACCUGACUAAGAAGCACCGGCUAAAUACGUGCCAGCAGCCGCGGUAAUACGUAUGGUGCAAGCGUUAUCCGGAUUUACUGGGUGUAAAGGGUGCGUAGGUGGUGAGACAAGUCUGAAGUGAAAAUCCGGGGCUUAACCCCGGAACUGCUUUGGAAACUGCCUGACUAGAGUACAGGAGAGGUAAGUGGAAUUCCUAGUGUAGCGGUGAAAUGCGUAGAUAUUAGGAGGAACACCAGUGGCGAAGGCGACUUACUGGACUGCUACUGACACU
rnacentral:rRNA from 1 species